rnacentral:rRNA from 1 species
GACGAACGCUGGCGGCGUGCUUAACACAUGCAAGUGGAGCGACGAACCAGGCUUCGGCCUGGGGCAGAGCCGCGAACGGGUGAGUAACACGUGGGUAACCUGCCUCGAUGACCGGGACAACCCGAGGAAACCCGGGCUAAUACCGGAUGUGCUCCUUCACAUCAGUGAAGACAGGAAAGGAAGCUUCGGCCUCCGCAUCGAGAUGGGCCCGCGGCCCAUUAGCUUGUUGGUGAGGAACGGCUCACCAA